GGCCUGUUGGCGGAGAGUUUACGCCACGGAUUGCAACUCCGUGCAGCCCCGUUCAAUUCGGGGACAGGCCUCCA
rnacentral:tRNA from 1 species